rnacentral:rRNA from 1 species
UCGACGCUUCUUUUUCACCGGAGCUUGCUCCACCGGAAAAAGAAGAGUGGCGAACGGGUGAGUAACACGUGGGUAACCUGCCCAUCAGAAGGGGAUAACACUUGGAAACAGGUGCUAAUACCGUAUAACAAUCAAAACCGCAUGGUUUUGAUUUGAAAGGCGCUUUCGGGUGUCGCUGAUGGAUGGACCCGCGGUGCAUUAGCUAGUUGGUGAGGUAACGGCUCACCAAGGCCACGAUGCAUAGCCGACCUGAGAGGGUGAUCGGCCACAUUGGGACUGAGACACGGCCCAAACUCCUACGGGAGGCAGCAGUAGGGAAUCUUCGGCAAUGGACGAAAGUCUGACCGAGCAACGCCGCGUGAGUGAAGAAGGUUUUCGGAUCGUAAAACUCUGUUGUUAGAGAAGAACAAGGAUGAGAGUAACUGUUCAUCCCUUGACGGUAUCUAACCAGAAAGCCACGGCUAACUACGUGCCAGCAGCCGCGGUAAUACGUAGGUGGCAAGCGUUGUCCGGAUUUAUUGGGCGUAAAGCGAGCGCAGGCGGUUUCUUAAGUCUGAUGUGAAAGCCCCCGGCUCAACCGGGGAGGGUCAUUGGAAACUGGGAGACUUGAGUGCAGAAGAGGAGAGUGGAAUUCCAUGUGUAGCGGUGAAAUGCGUAGAUAUAUGGAGGAACACCAGUGGCGAAGGCGGCUCUCUGGUCUGUAACUGACGCUGAGGCUCGAAAGCGUGGGGAGCAAACAGGAUUAGAUACCCUGGUAGUCCACGCCGUAACCGAUGAGUGUUAAGUGUUGGAGGGUUUCCGCCCUUCAGUGCUGCAGCUAACCCAUUAACCACUCCGCCUGGGGAGUACGACCGCAAGGUUGAAACUCAAAGGAAUUGACGGGGGCCCGCCCAAGCGGUGGAGCAUGUGGUUUAAUUCGAAGCAACGCGAAGACCCUUACCAGGUCUUGACAUCCUUUGACCACUCUAGAGAUAGAGCUUCCCCUUCGGGGGCAAAGUGCCAGGUGGUGCAUGG